UGAGAAAGGGUUGAUACUCUGAAGUAUCCCGCAUGUCCUUUUUGGGAUGACUCAAUAGCAAUGCCUUAAGAUCAUUGGACAAGGCAUGACCCACAAGAACCCUUCCUUUAAUCAUCUCUGCAACUUUCUUCUGAACAGUUGGGAAAUCCUUUGCUUUCCUCAAGUGUUGGGGUCGAAUGCCACUAAUUUUUGUACGGAAGUCAACAACACGUUCUAUUGGGCGAACAAACUCAUCAUGCAUAACAUUUCCCCACUGAUUCACCAGUGUUACGCGUCCAAGAGCACUUCUGUUUCCUUGACCAGUGCCAACCAUUUCACAAUCAAUGGCUAUCACAUCUGUCAGACUGAAAUCAUCAUUAGUUGGAGCUAAAGGAUUCAGCUGAGACUCGUCAGAUGCUUUAUCGGGUCUCUCUUUACGCUUCCCUAAUAUAGAUUUUUGGGUUUCUGAGUUUGAAUUAUUUGAGGGCCUUGAAGGCCUAGAGCCAUGGCUUUUAAGCUUUUGUUGGAGCUGCGCCCAGUUGGGAUUGAGCGGUAAAUGCUGCUGCUUAGGGUUUUUUUUCUUCU
rnacentral:misc_RNA from 1 species